GCUUCUGUAGCUCAAGUGGCGAAGUGCUGGUCUUGCAAACCAAGGGUCGUGAGUUCAAUCCUCACAGGAGGCA